rnacentral:rRNA from 1 species
AUGAAGGCAGCAUUAAAAACUAUCCUCCCACAAACUCUGCAUAAGCUAUGUCGGUGGCAUAUCAUGAAGAAGUACAAGGACCACCUCGCCUUGCUGUAUAAGGCGCACGAGAAGCUCAAGGACGAACUCAAUGCAGUGUUGAACCACCCACUAAUGCCGUCAGAAUUUGAACGAGCAUGGAAGAACCUCAUUCAGAGGUACAACUUGCAAGACGACGUGAUGAAUUCACUGUGGGAUGACAUGCACGAGUGGAUCUUAGCUUACUACAAGGAAAUUUUCUGUGCUCGGAUGACUUCCACACAGAGAAGCGAGAGCAUGAACCGCAUACUGAAGAAAAAUUUUGUCAGGGAGAAGCAUGAUCUCCAUCUGUUUGCUCAGCAGGUGGACAAGUGCAUUCAGACCAGGAAGGCCGUCGAGCACGUAGAGACAAUAGCAAAUGAGUCAGAGGUAAAAACAACAACAAAGUUUGGCUUCGAAGUUCAGCUAUCAAAAGUGUAUACAAGAGCAGUGUUUGCAGAUUUCAAAGAAACGCUCUACCGUAGCACUGCAUUCAGAGCAGAACGGUGCCCUGAGAACCCGACAAAGUAUCUAGUACACCACUACAACAGAUCGGAUGCAUUUGACUGGGCAAGGCAUAAUUUCCAAGUGGUCGCCGAUGAAGAGAAAGGUGUCUACGAAUGUGAGUGCAAACUCUGGACACACACAGGCCUCUUCUGCGUCCAUGUCUUAUGCAUGCUUUCUCAUUUGAGAGUACUCAACAUUCCUGAGGUGUACAUCAUGAAGAGAUACACUCGUAAUGCAAGAUCAGAUGCAACGUUUGACAGAAGAGACUACGAACAAACAACACCAGAUGGAACCUCGCUUUUUUGCCGUAGAAAAUUGCUGACAGAAAAGCAAUGGACCUUGCAAACAGAGCGACAAGGUCAGACGCUGGGUGCCACAGAGCGUUGUCUGGUAUGA